UACGUAGGUGGCAAGCGUUGUCCGGAUUUACUGGGCGUAAAGAGCGCGCAGGCGGUCUCUUAAGUCUGAUGUGAAAGCCCACGGCUCAACCGUGGAGGGUCAUUGGAAACUGGGAGACUUGAGUGCAGAAGAGAAGAGCGGAAUUCCACGUGUAGCGGUGAAAUGCGUAGAGAUGUGGAGGAACACCAGUGGCGAAGGCGGCUCUUUGGUCUGUAACUGACGCUGAGGCGCGAAAGCGUGGGGAGCAAACAGG
rnacentral:rRNA from 1 species